rnacentral:rRNA from 1 species
AUUGAACGCUGGCGGCAUGCCUUACACAUGCAAGUCGAACGGCAGCACGGGAGCAAUCCUGGUGGCGAGUGGCGAACGGGUGAGUAAAGUAUCGGAACGUGCCCAGUCGUGGGGGAUAACGUAGCGAAAGUUACGCUAAUACCGCAUACGAUCUAUGGAUGAAAGCGGGGGAUCGCAAGACCUCGCGCGAUUGGAGCGGCCGAUAGCAGAUUAGGUAGUUGGUGGGGUAAAGGCUCACCAAGCCGACGAUCUGUAGCUGGUUUGAGAGGACGACCAGCCACACUGGGACUGAGACACGGCCCAGACUCCUACGGGAGGCAGCAGUGGGGAAUUUUGGACAAUGGGCGAAAGCCUGAUCCAGCCAUGCCGCGUGCAGGAUGAAGGCCUUCGGGUUGUAAACUGCUUUUGUACGGAACGAAAAGGUUUGGCCUAAUAAGCUGAGCUCAUGACGGUACCGUAAGAAUAAGCACCGGCUAACUACGUGCCAGCCGCCGCAGUAA